CAGUUUGGACGGUGUCGGGUCGUCAGGAACUGCGCCCCGUCCACGAGCCCCCAAGGCCUAGGAGACGGGGUUGACGGGAUCCCAGCCGGUCGCCGGCCAGCCCGCAGCCCCGGAGCCUCAACCCUCACCGGCUGCCACGGACGACGCGGAGACCGGCGUCCAGGCUCUCCCACCCGGGACCCCGCCCCCCGCGAGCUGUACCUGCAGCGGUGACAACUCCAUGGUGACGGUCCUGAACCGGGCGCGAGAAUCCCGAAAGCGACUGUAACCAGUGGGAAACGGGAGGGCACCCGCGACCAGGACGCUCCGCCACAGACGCGCGUCGGUUAGGACAGCCUUCCUAAGUUUCUUUCGAACCUUCGCCUAGCCCGCCCAAAUCAGAGGAGCCUAUCACCGAACCGCUCUCAUUAGCUCUGUUUAGAGGAGCCAAUCAUAGACGGUCUUUUAUUCACACCCAUUGAACAGGCGGCCUGUUCGAAUGAACCAAUCAGGCAGCUGUAGAGAGACCGAAAGCGGAAAGAGAGACUUGGUCUGACGGUACUCAGAAACCAUGUUUAUUCACGAUGAGGGAGCAUCUGGGAAUGACGGGACCUGAAGGCAUCGCACACAAAGUGAAUUCCAGAGCAGCAGCAAGAGGUUAAGGAAGUCCUGAAGGCUCCCUGUCUCCAUCUUCAGUAUGGGGGCACUCCUGGAGAGGAAGCAUCAUUUCUUCCCUGUAGUGGACUGAUGGAGUGGGGAUUCUGGAUCUCUCUGU